GCACCCAUAGCUCAAUUGGAUAGAGUGACAGUCUACGAAACUGUAGGUUACAAGUUCGAUUCUUGUUGGGUGCG
rnacentral:tRNA from 1 species